AUGGCGGUCAAGCGAAUCUUCCGAUAUUUGGCUCAUACCCCAAACUUUGGCUUAUGGUACCCACGAGGAGCGAACUUUAAGCUUGAAGGAUAUUCGGAUUCUGAUUGGGCGGGAGACAAAGUGGAUAGGAAGUCCACUUCUGGAGGGUGCCAAUUUCUGGGUUGCUCUUUGGUAAGUUGGUCUUCCAACAAGCAAAGUUGUGUGUCUCUCUCGUCCACCGAAGCGGAAUAUGUGGCGACCGGUAGUUGUUGUGCUCAACUCUUAUGGAUGAGGCGAACUUUAAAGGAUUACGGUGUGAUUUGUGACAAAGUGCCUCUUUGGUGUGACAAUGAAAGUGCCAUCAAGAUUUCUCUCAACCCGGUGCAACACUUCAAGACGAAGCAUAUUGAGAUUCGGUAUCACUUCAUCCGGGAUCAUAUUAGCCGAGGGGAGAUCGAGCUCAAGUAUGUCAACACUCAUGAUAACCUUGCAGAUAUUUUCACGAAGCCCUUGGAUGAAGCAAGAUUUCGCGAGUUA
rnacentral:rRNA from 1 species